CGGGGGCGUCCCGAGCCGGACACGCAGGGCGGCCCCCCGACCCAACCCAGGACUCCUGGGAGGCCGAGCACCCCGAGGCUGGGAACCGGACGAGUGAGAGGAGGGACAGAGGCAAGCUGUGUUGUAGCGAAAACGGGAGGAAAAACCCAUCAUGGGAGGACAACCUAAUACCACCUUAAGACAUCCCUGCAGCAACCCACGGCCAAAGUCAAAGACGAGCUGCUCACGCCCACCACGUGCUCAAGCUUUUGUACUUUCCCCCCAACCUUCCACACCCUUUGAGGAAAACUGGCGCUCUUUGUACCCCCGGCUGGCCUUCCCGGGGUGUAGGACGCUCAGAGCCAGAACCCCGGUGGUUCCGGGUGAACCACGAUGGUUGAAAGUCCUAUUGGUCGUCACGGAGAUGUGCUGUGUGUGUAAACACACGUCAGAUUUGAAAAGACUCAGUAUGAAGAAAAGAAUGUAAAAUAACUCAUUCUGCUUUAGGUUGACUAGUGAGAUAAUUUUUUUAUAUACUGGGUCUGGGUGAAAUAAAGUAUGUUAUCCAAAUGAA